CUGGCAGUGGUGGCGGGAAGCGGAGCAACACAGUUGGGAGCUGACAGAGCGAAGCGGGCUGGGGCUUCCCGCCGCUGGUGCUUUCAGCAGUCAGGAGGCAGUGGAGAAGAGCUCUGAUUGACUUACUUCCCAGCCUUAAGUAGGAUUUACAUGAGGAGGGAAUCCUUUGUUUCCAGUGGAAAAAUACCAGCUGUGUCCAAUGUGGUACUCCGUACCAGGUGAUACCGUCAGAUGACGCUGCAGUGUCAAAGCAACAUCCCAGGAAGCUUCUCAGGAAGAUUAAUGCCCAAACUAUGAUAGGUGCUUGGACAAGAUCCAAUGAUGGCCAACUUGUAGCUAGUCUACAAGGAAAGGGAAACUGUACAAGACACCCUGUGCCUCUCUACAGAGGAGCCAGCAAACCCUGCAAGGACUGAGAGAAAGUACUAGGCACUCACUGGAGCAAAGCAUUGCUAGCCAGAUGCCUUGAAAUUCUAUUUACAUGGACUAUGUGGGAAGCUCAUCCUCUCAAGUCCUAUGCAUAAACUUCAUUCAAUGAAAGAAACACAUCUAAACCUGGAAAUCUUCCAAAUAGGUCU